UCCAUCCCAACACCUGUGCAUGCUAGGCAAGUGCUCUGCCACUGAGCCACACCCCGAGCCCUUCAGUCAGGGUUUGAAAUCAGUUCCUUAACAGAUUGUGUUUCUUUUCUUUCCUUUUAUUCCUAGACUAGGUGUACAUGAGGGCUUUCGGCUGUGCUACAUCUGCUGACACCCUGUAUAUUUGUUCUGGAGUUAUAGGGCAGACACUAUAAUGUUUGUGACUGAGGAUAAACGUCAAGGAAACAACCCUUCAAAACAUGUAGGGCCUUCCAACACCGACCCAGUACACAGACCUUCAUGUGUUUUGCUUCCACUGGUGUGGUAGCUGACUUUUUGGACCUGUGUUUGAAGGUUUGUGUGUUUACUGGCUGGAGCUUGGGAUCUAUUCUAAAGAACGGAGCUUUGGCAAAUCAGUUUAGCAACUGAAAACACAUACUGUAGUCCUCAUUACACAGGCCGAUGGAAAGAGGAGCCCAGCCAGGGCUGGAGAGGUUGAGGAAGGAGUGAGAAUUGGGACCCUGGCCAGCUGGAGGGGCAGGAGAUGCUUCCUGCUCUCAGCAAUGCUUCCUGGCAACAUCUGCCCACACAGGACUUGCCUGGUCACCUCCCCUCCACAGCCAGAGCGUCGUUGUCCUUCCAAGGAUCAAGAAGCUGCCCCAAUGGAGGGCCUGAGCCUGGAUGGCAGCUGCAGAGAUGGAAAAGAAAGAGGAGAGUGCUGAGCACCAGUGAAAACCACCAGCCCAGCUAUCUCCUGAACUGGCUUCCAGCUUAGGAACUGGUGGUGCAUCCUGAGGCUAGAGCCUAGUGACUGAUGUGAGCCAUGGAGGGACCCAAAGGACCUGGAUUUUGACUAUUAGACUUUUGAAACAAUCCU